rnacentral:rRNA from 1 species
UACGUAGGUGGCAAGCGUUGUCCGGAAUCAUUGGGCGUAAAGCGCGCGCAGGCGGUCCUUUAAGUCUGAUGUGAAAGCCCACGGCUCAACCGUGGAGGGUCAUUGGAAACUGGGGGACUUGAGUGCAGGAGAGAAGAGUGGAAUUCCACGUGUAGCGGUGAAAUGCGUAGAGAUGUGGAGGAACACCAGUGGCGAAGGCGACUCUUUGGCCUGUAACUGACGCUGAGGCGCGAAAGCGUGGGGAGCAAACAGG